UACAGAGGUGGCAAGCGUUGCUCGGUAUCACUGGGCUUAAAGGGCGCGUAGGCGGUGCGGUACGGUUUCGGUGAAAUCCCUCGGCCCAACCGAGGAACAGCCGGGGCUACGGCCGUGCUAGACGGCAUCAGGGGACAGUGGAACUCCCGGUGGAGCGGUGAAAUGCGUAGAUAUCGGGAGGAACGCCGGUGGCGAAAGCGACUGUCUGGGGUGCUGUGACGCUGAGGCGCGAAAGCCAGGGGAUCAAACGGGAGUUA
rnacentral:rRNA from 1 species